rnacentral:tmRNA from 1 species
GGGGAUGUCACGGUUUCGACCAGGAGUGCGAUGGUAGGGGCUGCGAGCCGGGAGUGUCGUCCGAUCCCGCUAAAUCCGAUGGCAAAAAAAACAAGUGCCAAAGCUAACGUCUUUGCGCUUCCCUCGGUUGGUGGCCGUCAGGCCGCUGCCCUCGCUGCGUAAGUAGCGAGUUAAGGGACACUCAUCGUCCCCCGCCGGUCGGGAUGAUGGGUCACUUUGACCGGCUGCUGCCGACCGAUUUGUUCGCUGAGUCGGCCUAAGCCUAGCGAACUAUCCUGACACGGGCCGCGCCGAGGGGGCGCGUGGCAGGUGAAACGUACCCCAGGCUACGCUCGUAGACGCCGCUAUGGUUGUCUUUUGGGACGUGGGUUCAAUUCCCACCAUCUCCAC